UUUUAGCUACAAUAUUAUAAAUGCAUUACAAACUUUCGCUUUUUGGCCCUUCAAUGUGCAUUGUCAUUUGGGGUUAUGUAAAAUGCAUAAAUGCAACUUAAAGUUUGAUGUGCAUAAAAAAAAUCAACAAAGUGAAAGAACACCCCAAAAUUAUGCUGCACAUUUUCGAAGCAAUAGCAGCGCUUUUCAAACAAUUGCCAAAUAUAAAUCAAAGAAAUCGAACCUGAGGACUUCGAAGACCAAAUAAAAACGCACAAUGUAUAUAUAUUUUUUUAAAUAUUUUAAUACAUUUUCUUUGUUCUUGAAUACAUA